UACGUAGGGUGCGAGCGUUGUCCGGAAUUAUUGGGCGUAAAGAGCUCGUAGGCGGUGUGUCACGUCGGCCGUGAAAACCUGGGGCUUAACUCUGGGCGUGCGGUCGAUACGGGCAUCACUAGAGUUCGGCAGGGGAGACUGGAAUUCCUGGUGUAGCGGUGAAAUGCGCAGAUAUCGGGAGGAACACCCGUAGCGAAGGCGGCACUCUGGGCCGGAACUGACGCUGAGGAGCGAAAGCGUGGGGAGCAAACAGG
rnacentral:rRNA from 1 species